AUUGAACGCUGGCGGCAUGCCUUACUCAUGCAAGCCGAACGGCAGCACGGGAGCAAUCCUGGUGGCGAGUGGCGAACGGGUGAGUAAUAUAUCGGAACGUGCCCAGUCGUGGGGGAUAACGCAGCGAAAGCUGUGCUAAUACCGCAUACGAUCUACGGAUGAAAGCGGGGGAUCGCAAGACCUCGCGCGAUUGGAGCGGCCGAUAUCAGAUUAGCUAGUUGGUGAGGUAAAGGCUCACCAAGGCGACGAUCUGUAGCUGGUCUGAGAGGACGACCAGCCACACUGGAACUGAGACACGGUCCAGACUCCUACGGGAGGCAGCAGUGGGGAAUUUUGGACAAUGGGCGAAAGCCUGAUCCAGCAAUGCCGCGUGCAGGAUGAAGGCCUUCGGGUUGUAAACUGCUUUUGUACGGAACGAAACGGUGAGCUCUAAUACAGUUUGCUAAUGACGGUACCGUAAGAAUAAGCACCGGCUAACUACGUGCCAGCCGCCGCGGUAA
rnacentral:rRNA from 1 species